CUGUCCACAAGGAAGAAGGGGUACAUUUUCCUAGAUUCACACAACUGAAUGCUACACACCCGUGAAAAAGAACAAGUUACAGGUCCAGGCAACAAUGAGGAUGAACCUCACAAACAUAACAUGAAGCAGAAGGAGGCAGACAUGAAAGAGUACAGACUGCAGCAUUCCACUCAUAGGAAGUCCAAGCAUGGGCAACGAAUCCAUGCGGCUAGAGGUGAGAGUCACGGUUACCUAAAGGGGGACAAUGUGGGACAGGGGAUGGGGAGCUGUCUGGGAGCCAGAAAGGGUCCAUCCCUUAACCUAGAGGAUGACUACCCCUAUGGGCAUGUACAGAUCUGCCAAACUGUACACUGAAGAUUUGUAUACUUAGUAAGUGUAAAUCAUACCUCAAUUUAAAAAUAUCCCUGGGGCAGGGGACCACCCACCCACCAAACUGUCCACAGAACCAGCAAGCAGGGCCAGGGUUGGAGACACUUGUCUGGGAGGUGGGAGGAGGGGAAAGCCAUCGCCCUGGAGUUUGGUGACUGGCUGUGUGAGCAUGUUACUUGCUGCCCCUGCCUCGGUCUCCCCCUCUGCAGACAAGGCUGCUGCCCAGUUACAGAAGUCACUGGGACCCGUGACGCUGAACACCAGGCUUUUUGCACAGAGCUUAGGAUGACACGGCCCUUGUGAAACAAACCCUGGGCAGAGAGGAAAGCUCAUGUGUCGGGAGGCAGAGGGGCCUGAGUGGGUGCUUCUUGUUGGGAGGCAGAGGGGCCUGAGUGGGUGCUUCUCGUUGGGAGGCAGAGGGGCCUAAGUGGGCUCUUCCUCAGGGCAUUCCUUGGGAAGAGGAACAACACUUCCAGGACAGCGCCACAUGUGGCAGGGGCUCGUCUUGUUGCGGGGGAAACUGAGGAAGACAGAAUGUGCUCUGUGACUGUGUGUCCCUCCCUGGUGGCCUCUGUCGCUCCCAUGCUUCUCUUCUCAGGGGUCUCUGUAGUGAUCAUUCUGCACUAUUCAAGAUUCAAAGGAGUUGCCCCAUCAAGCGUGAGUGAUGGCGGCAAGUGAAGUCCUUGUGGUCAGAGGGGUGUCCCUUAGGGGGAUCGAGUGCCCAUUCAGUGCCCGUGAUACCAGAGGGGUGUCCUCGUGAGCUGGAACCUGAGAGAGGCCAGGGGUCUGGAGGGCAGUGCACAAAGCUGGCUCCAGGUCAGGGCACAGAACGCUGGGCAGGGAGCCACCCCAGUGCCCAGGCAGGCAGCAGCCGGAAGUCCUGCCCCCCCUCUUCAGGAGGGAGUGGCCAACAAGGCUGGCCACUUUCAAAAGGCCAGGGCUUUUGAAUCGGAGCUAGACACCCUGAUUUACAGCUGGCAGCACGUGGGCCACGUCACUGAGUCCCGGCAUGUCACACGUGAUGCAGCUGCUCCACGGUCACGUGACUCUGCCGUCAUCACUGGGCUGUUCUGCUAUAAUUAAACACUGUCCCCAAAAACUAGCCAAGGGCUCUACUUUACAAUGCAAAGUCAUCAUCUGCCCAGCAGCUCCCUUGGCAGAGCUGGUCCUCCCUGGAGGCGCCAUGCUGACCUCCUGGCAUCUCAGGAAGAGAGUGCUUUCAUUUGCUCCCCAACUGCUUGGGUCCCCCUGGCUGCUCCUGCUUGUGUUUUAAGUUCUCCACCCAAGGUGGACGUGAGGGGCUGGGAGUGUGAUCGUGAGACCCAGGGCGGGUGCCUGCAGCCCUUCCUCUCUGUAUCAAGCUGGUAUCUGUGGCCUUUCUCUGUUCACCCGCCGCCUUGUUGAACACUUCUCCUUGGCACCUUCAGAAGCCAGGUGUUUCUGCCCACCUUUCCCUGCUGCCUCCCAUGGAAGUCAAUCUGGCCACGCCCAAAGGGCCUAAGCAUCGCCACUACAAUUCACCUCUGACUGAAGAAAGCCACAGCUAGGGCAGGAAUACAGGACAUUCCCCGGCUGAGGGAGAAUCAUGUGCAGGGAGAAGCUGAAGUUUCUAACAUUAACCUGGUGCAGAAGAAAGGAAAAAGAGAUUCUGCAGGCCGCCGCUUAAAACAGAAUUUUAUAUCCUUUGUGAUUUAAUAUUUCUGGGGAGGAACCACCUGUGGAAAACAUAUCCGAUUAGAAAUGUUCCCUUUUUUUCAUAAAUAAGCAGAAAAGUUUUCCUAGUUUUGUUAUGUAAUGAGUGGGGGUCUCACAUCCUGGUUAGGGAUAUAGGCUUCGGCAGCAGACAGGCCUAAGCUGGGAUCUUGGUGCCUCUCUGUGGCUUCUGGCCUUGGUGACAUCACUUACACUCCCUGGCCAUCAGUUAUGGAGUUGGCAUGACAAUGCCUGUGUCCCAGCAUUACUAUAAAGAUGGACCAUAAUCGGAGUGUGCCUCUCUGGCCCUCCGCCCCUGGGAAGGGUCCAGGAAAGGGCCACUGUGAGUCCGGGCGCCUCUCUGGCCCUUCUCCUUGAUGUUGGAAAGGUCACCUUCACCCGCACCCCGCAGACCUGUUGGAAGGCUGCUGCCAAAGCCAUCGAGAUUUCAUAUUACUCCAGCACAAAGAGUUCUGAGGAUAUUUACAUAACCACAGGUUUUCAACAACAUUGCUAUAUUUCAGUAUUUCUAUGAGUUUUAUCCCCCAAACGUGGCGUUCCAGAGACAAUGCAAACUUAAUUAGGUUAAGAUGAACUGGUAAGCAAACCCCUCGCCAGGUGAGCAAAUUCUCACCAAAGCACUUCAGGGAAGCACCCUCACCUCUGCAUAGCCACACCAUCCCUGCGGAAAUACUUGGGGAGGGGGUCAAGUCCUUUGGGAAACGUCUGCUUUCAUAAAAGCAGCUUUCUUUACACCUUUUUACACAAGUGCCUUUCAACAAGUUACAUACAAAAUCAACCUGUGACAUCAGGUAGAUAUUAAAAACUGAUCAGGCAAAAGCCUCUGCAGCAACUGAACUCCACACUUAUGUGAGGCGGGAGGCUGAGUGGGCCCUGUGAAGACGCGGGCGUCACGGCUGCUAAAGCGUCCAUGCAACACACAGAACAGCAACAAAAAUAAACAGCAGAUGCCAUCGCGGGUGGAGGGUGGGGGUGGGAGAAGAAAGGUGCCAAUCUUCUGGAAGAACACAGAAAACCGCCAGGAGUCACAGCGCGACGAGUGUGCGGGGAAGGCGGCGGGGCCGGGAGUCACAGCGCGACGAGUGUGCGGGGAAGGCGGUGGGGCUGGGAGCUGGCAAUGUCUUCUGUCUACAGACUCCCUCGCCACAUCCAGCCCUCCCCACCCCUCCCACUGGCAGCGAGAGGAAAUCCCGUCCGGGGAGCAGCAGGCAGCUGCGGUGGGAAUUUCAUGACACUAGAAAAGACUGGACUCCUCCCUCAUCCUACACCUGCAGAGCCCCACGCAGUCAUUUAGGCACAAACAUUCACUGUAUUCGCCUGCAUUCCAUGAAGGCUCCGUUCUUUCCAUGCUGAAUUUGAGCCACUUCGCAGACAGAAGUGGCCCUGGGUUCUCAGCCCCACCUAAGUUGCCUAAGACUACAGCCACGCGACACAUUCUCUGCAGCAGGCUACAAGAAUUCUCCAAAGCAUUAUCUAAGUCCUGGAAGAGCAAUUACAGUUUUGGUACCAAAAGUAGGAGCGACCAGCCAGGCUCUCCCCCACAGACAACAGCACCUGCCCACGGCCAGCCUCCUGCGAUGAGUCACAGGUGCCACGUGAAAUGCAUUAUACACACUCAGGGACAGACACGCAAAUGCUCCACUCAUGAAGGAUACAGAAAUAGAUGGAGGAGCUUCUUGGUCAUUGUUUACUUCUCAAAAAUGGAAUCAUUCUAUACAUCCUUAUGCACAUGUUAACUUCUUACUCAAAGUACCUCCUGGAAAUGUUUCUGAGUCAACUGGUUUGCCUGUGAUGAAUUCUUUUAGGGACCUGCACAUUUCAUAAUACGGACUUGUGAUAAUUUAUUCAAACUUUUACCUACUUAUUAGGUUCCCUUGAUAUCCAGCAUUGUUUUUUUUUCCUUUUUGCUUUUUUUGGUCACUACAAAGCUGCCAUAAAGAUGCUUAUGAAGAUAUUCCUAAGUAAGGUGCUUUUAUUUUUAGGGUGAAAUUCCCAGAAGUAUGUCUGAAGGCUGUAGUGUUUUUUAUUUCACUGGGUGUCACCAAAAGGCGCUAACGCUUGACAUCCCAUCAAGAACGCAUGAAAACUCCUCUCCCCUCACGACCAGUGAAUAGCGCUUACUGCCCUGGGCAAUGCUGUGCCAGCCACUGAGCACAGUGUUGCCUUAAUUUGCAUAUGGAAUACCGGCAGACUCGAACACCAUUCACAUAUUUCCUGGCGAUCUGAAUUCCGUGUCUGUAAACUGCUUGUUCAUCCCCCUUGCCCGUUGUUUCUUUGGGUUUCCUAACUUCACACUCACUCCUACGAUAAACAUAAUUUUCUUCUUGGAUUUGUACUUUUUGUAUUUUACAUUCAUGUCUUUAAUCCAUUUAUUUUAUUUUACUUUUUUGAGAUGGAGUCUCACUCAUGUCACCCAGGCUGGAGUGCGGUGGUGUGGUCUCGGCUCACUGCAACAUUCGCCUCCCAGGUUCAAGCGAUUCUCAUGCGUCAGUCUCCCAAGUAGCUGGGAUUACAGGUGCCCGCCACCAUGCCCAGCUCACUUUUGUACAUUUAGUAGAGAUGGUCAGGCUGGUCUCGAACUGCUGACCUCAGGUAAUCCACCUGCCUCGGCCUCCCAAAGUGCUGGGAUUACAGGUGUGAGCCACAGUGCCCGGGCCAUUUGUUUUUAUAAAAUAGGGAUUCAACAUUUAUUUCUUCCUGACGAAUAACCAGUUGUGCCGACACCAUUUAUUAAAUUUAUUAAAUAAGCUCUGUCAAAUAUUCCAUAUUUUCUAAUCUAUUCUACUGACUUUUUUGUCUAUUCUCAUGUAAUAUCAUAAUUUGAUUAUGGUAUUAAAAUAUGUUAAUCUUUUGCAUAUUUUCAUAUCAUAAAAUGUUAUCUUUACACUUUUCUUGAUAAUUCCUGGACAUUCUUUCAUACAAACUUUAAGAUUAUUUUAUUCAAUUAAAAAAAACCCUGC
rnacentral:lncRNA from 1 species